rnacentral:tRNA from 1 species
GUUUAGCUCAGUGGUAGAACACUUGCCUAAUAUGCUUGAAGUCCUGGAUUUGAUCCCCAGCAACA